rfam:Capsicum annuum cultivar Zunla-1 chromosome 5, whole genome shotgun sequence
GGCAAUUGCAAUAAUGUUAACAUUAAUCUCAACUCUAUGAGACUUUAUUUUUAAGGUUGUGCAUCACACUUAAUUUCCAACACAUGUAAAUAUGAGCUUUGCC